CAGGCUUAACACAUGCAAGUCGAGGGUCAUCAGGAAGAAAGCUUGCUUUCUUUGCUGGCGACCGGCGCACGGGUGAGUAACACGUAUCCAACCUGCCCUUUACUCGGGGAUAGCCUUUCGAAAGAAAGAUUAAUACCCGAUAGCAUAAUGAUUCCGCAUGGUUUCAUUAUUAAAGGAUUCCGGUAAAGGAUGGGGAUGCGUUCCAUUAGGUUGUUGGUGAGGUAACGGCCCACCAAGCCUUCGAUGGAUAGGGGUUCUGAGAGGAAGGUCCCCCACAUUGGAACUGAGACACGGUCCAAACUCCUACGGGAGGCAGCAGUGAGGAAUAUUGGUCAAUGGGCGCUAGCCUGAACCAGCCAAGUAGCGUGAAGGAUGAAGGCUCUAUGGGUCGUAAACUUCUUUUAUAUAAGAAUAAAGUGCAGUAUGUAUACUGUUUUGUAUGUAUUAUAUGAAUAAGGAUCGGCUAACUCCGUGCCAGCAGCCGCGGUAAUACGGAGGAUCCGAGCGUUAUCCGGAUUUAUUGGGUUUAAAGGGAGCGUAGGUGGACUGGUAAGUCAGUUGUGAAAGUUUGCGGCUCAACCGUAAAAUUGCAGUUGAUACUGUCAGUCUUGAGUACAGUAGAGGUGGGCGGAAUUCGUGGUGUAGCGGUGAAAUGCUUAGAUAUCACGAAGAACUCCGAUUGCGAAGGCAGCUCACUGGACUGCACCUGACACUGAUGCUUGAAAGGGUGGGUAUUCAAACAGGAUUAGAUUCCCUGGUAGUCCACACAGUAAACGAUGAAUACUCGCUGUUUGCGAUAUACAGUAAGCGGCCAAGCGAAAGCAUUAAGUAUUCCACCUGGGGAGUACGCCGGCAACGGUGAAACUCAAAGGAAUUGACGGGGGCCCGCACAAGCGGAGGAACAUGUGGUUUAAUUCGAUGAUACGCGAGGAACCUUACCCGGGCUUAAAUUGCAGUGGAAUGAUGUGGAAACAUGUCAGUGAGCAAUCACCGCUGUGAAGGUGCUGCAUGGUUGUCGUCAGCUCGUGCCGUGAGGUGUCGGCUUAAGUGCCAUAACGAGCGCAACCCUUAUCUUUAGUUACUAACAGGUUAUGCUGAGGACUCUAGAGAGACUGCCGUCGUAAGAUGUGAGGAAGGUGGGGAUGACGUCAAAUCAGCACGGCCCUUACGUCCGGGGCUACACACGUGUUACAAUGGGGGGUACAGAAGGCAGCUAGCGGGUGACCGUAUGCUAAUCCCAAAAGCCUCUCUCAGUUCGGAUCGAAGUCUGCAACCCGACUUCGUGAAGCUGGAUUCGCUAGUAAUCGCGCAUCAGCCACGGCGCGGUGAAUACGUUCCCGGGCCUUGUACACACCGCCCGUCAAGCCAUGGGAGCCGGGGGUACAAGAAGUACGUAACCGCAAGGAUCGUCCUAGGGUAAAACUGA
rnacentral:rRNA from 1 species